AUUGAACGCUGGCGGCAUGCUUUACACAUGCAAGUCGAACGGCAGCGCGGGCUUCGGCCUGGCGGCGAGUGGCGAACGGGUGAGUAAUGCAUCGGAACGCGCCCAGUAGUGGGGGAUAGCCCGGCGAAAGCCGGAUUAAUACCGCAUACGACCUGAGGGUGAAAGCGGGGGACCGAAAGGCCUCACGCUAUUGGAGCGGCCGAUGUCGGAUUAGCUAGUUGGUGGGGUAAAGGCUUACCAAGGCGACGAUCCGUAGCUGGUCUGAGAGGACGACCAGCCAAAAUGGGAAUGGGACAAGGCCCAGAAUUCUAAGGGAAGCAGGAGGGGGGAAAUUUUGAAAAUGGGGGCAACCCUGAUCCAGCCAUGCCGCGUGCGGGAAGAAGGCCUUCGGGUUGUAAACCGCUUUUGUUCGGGAAGAAAUCCUCUGGGCUAAUACCCCGGGGGGAUGACGGUACCGGAAGAAUAAGCACCGGCUAACUACGUG
rnacentral:rRNA from 1 species